rnacentral:rRNA from 1 species
AUCUAAUUUAUAAUAAAAAUUUAUCACUAUGACAUUACAGUAAACUUCAAAAAUGAAUUUAACUUAUAGCUUGUAUAAUUAAAUUUAAAUUUCAGUUAUAAAUAUAUGAUUUAGUCAAAUAAAUUUAAUUAAGUUUAAGUUUAACAGUGGAAUCAGGCUAAUAGUAUAUUUAACAUAAUUUAAAUUAUUAUAAUAAAUAAUGAAAUAUUUAUUAAUUAUGAGAAAUUAAUGCUUAAUGAAUAUAGAUAGAUAUGAUUAAUUAUAUUUAAUAUAAUUUAUACAUAGUAAUUACGAUUACAACAAAGAAGGUGAAAUUAUUAUGAGACCUGUAUUUUAUACAUUAGAUUUUAUUAUUAAAGUAUGAUGAGAGUAAACUUGUCGGAAUAUAGGGGUACCAUCCUCUAAGGCUAAGUAUUUAUAAAUUUAGCGAUAGUGAAAAGUACCGUGAGGGAAAAGUUGAAAAGAGUGUAGAAUAAUAUUAUACGUAAAAAUAGAAAUAAAGAUACAAAUAAUAUUAGUUCUUAUCGAACAAAUUUGUUCGAACGAAUGUAAAUAACACGCAGUGAAAAAGAUCAUGAAUUAGUAACUCUAUAAGCAGUCAAAGUCACAAAAUUAAAAUUUGGAACGUGACAAUGGCGUACCUUUUGCAUAAUGGGUCAGCAAGUUAAUAGCAGUAGCAAGGUUAAAAGCCUAAGCGAAAGCGACUAUAAUAAAAAAUAUGGGUUAAGUUACUGCUAUUAGACCCGAAGCCAGGUGAUCUUUCCAAGAACAGAUUAUUAACGGAUCGAACGGGUGAAUGUUGCAUUAUUCUCCGAAGAUUUUUGGAAAGCGGUGAAAUGCCAAUCUGACCUGGUUAUAGCUGGUUUUCUACGAAACAUAUUUUAGUAUGACAUCUAUUCAAUAUUUAUGGAGGUACAGCACGAUAAUUCCAUACGAAUAUUUAAUUAAUUUUAAUAGGAGUUUAAUUUGUGGGGACUUAAAAAUCUUACCAAUGGAAAUAAAUCUCGGAAUUACAUAAAUAGAUGGUAGAUAUUCAGACUAUUCAUGAUAAGUUGAAUAGUCAAGACGGAAACAGCCGUGAACACUGAUUAAGGUCCCGAAUGAUUAUUAAGUGAAAUAAAGGAAGUUACAAAUUGAAUGCAGUUGAAAAGUGAGCCUGGUAGUCGCUACUUAUAAUGAACGUGUAUCAACGUAUCAGCUUUUAGAUUGUUGCUCCGAAGAUUUAACGGGUCUAAAAUAAUCAACCGAUAUCGUGUUAAUUCUAAAGAUAGUAAAAUUUUAUCUAUAUUUAGAAUUUAGGUAGUAGAACAUUCAGAUAAUUCAAAGAAAAUAUUCCUCUAGGAAAGGAAUACAAACCUAAAAUUGACAGUGUUCCAUUGUUUAUAAAAUAGGAAUCUGAAGAGAUAAUGCUGACAUGAGUAACGUAAAAAGAAAGUUUAAACUUUCUCGCCGAAUACGAAAGGGUUAUUAGCUAAAGAUUAAAUCUACUAAUGUAAAUGCGGUCUCUAAGGUACAAAACCAACGUUUUGACUGAUGAGUAUAGCUUUGAAAGUCCAUAUGGAGAAUAAAAAUUUACAUAUAAAUUAUUUAUAUAAUUAGUAAAAUUUUAUAAAUUGGGCCAGGAAAAAGAUGUUUUGAAUAACUUCAAUUCUAUAUCUUAAAUUAGUCUUAUAAUUUUAUAAGUUUUUAUAUCAAAAAUUAAAUAUAAAUUGUAUUUAACUAAGAUCAAACUAAUCAUUUGAUUAUUAUUAAUUAAAUUUAUAUUUGUAUAAGCAAAAAAACCUAAAUUAGUAAAAGUUAAAUUAUUUAUAAAAUUUAGUGAGAGCUGAUUAAGAAGUAAUAUAAUGAUUUAGGUUAGUUUUAUUUAAGUAUAGUUUUUAAGCACAACCGUACCCUAAGCCGACACAGGUUCGUAGGUAGAGUAUACUAAGGCGUAGAGCUAAAAGUUGUUAAGGAACUCGGCAAAUUAUCCUCAUAAGUUAGACAAGAAGAGGAACCAUGAAUCUUAGUAAAUUAAUAACUCCUAUUAAUUUAUUUAUAUGGUGUCACAAAAUCGGAAGCCCCGACUGUUUACUAAAAACACAACUAUCUGCAAUUAUGAAAAUAAUAGUAUAGGUAGUGAGAUUUGCCCAAUGCCAUAAUAAUAAGUAAUAAUAAUGGGUAACUGUUUCUUUACAAAAAUUUGGUUAAUAGCGGUCUUAACUAUGAGGAUCCUAAGGUAGCAAAAUAAAUUGGCCAUUAAAUGUGGUCCAGUAUCAAUAAUUUAACGAUGGCUUCACUGUCUCUACAACUUGCUCAGUGAAAUUGAAUUACCCGUGCAGAUGCGGGUUACCUCAAAGAGGACGGGAAGACCCCAUGCAGCUUUACUGUAGCUAGUUAUCAUAUAAAAAGUUUUAUAACCUCGGUUAUACAGAUAAUAGGGAGUCGAUUUGACAUCUAUGGAAAACCUUAGGUCUGAGGUGGAACUGGUAUUUAUCUUCUUAUUUAGAAAAUUUAAGAGGAAAUAGCUGACUAGUUGGCAGUUUGACUGGGGCGGUCGUCUUUAAUAGAGUAGCAAAGUACAUCCAAAUAGAUUAAAAUUAUAAUAAUAUUUCUUAUCUAAUAUGAAAUAUUCUGACAAAUAAUUUAUAUUGUUAAUUAUUAUUUAAAUAAUUACUUAAAAUCAAUUUUUAUAUUUCAUUUUAAAGGUAUGCUAGACAUUAAAUGGAGGUUAAUGAACCAUGAAAGGUUCUGUAGAGUGCAAUGACGGUAAGCAUGCUUAACUGAAAGACUUAAUAGUCGAACAGAUACGUAAGUAGGGCAUAGUGACCCUUUGCUAUAUUAUGGAAUAGACAGGGAUCAAUUGAUAAAAGUUACGCUGGGGAUAACAGCCUAAUAGCCAGCGAGAGUUCACAUUGUCCUGGCUGUUUGGGACCUCGAUGUCGACUUAAUUUAUCCUCCAGGAGCAAAAUCUUGGAAGGGUUCGGCUGUUCGCCGAUUAAAAAAUUACAUGAGUUGGGUUUAAUACGACGUGAGUCAGUAUGGUCCCUAUCCUUUUGAGGGAUAAAUAGUAAAAAGGGGUAGACCUUCUAGUACGAAAGGACCAAUAGGCUGUGUUUCUCUAGUGUACCAAUUGUAAUAUGAAAUAAUGUGUAAUUAAGUUAGUUAAAUAACUUAGUUUUAUUAUUAAACUUUGCAUAGUUGGGUAGCCACAAACAUAUUAGAUAAUUACUGAAAGUAUAUCAAGUUCGAAUCUAUCCCCUAGAUACUAUCAUUGGAUUUCUUUUUGUUAUCUAUCACGAGUGGUUAAAAUAAUUUUCCAAAUUUUAAUCAUUUCUUGUAAUCGAUAUAAAAUAUAUAUACUACAAUUUUAUAC